rnacentral:lncRNA from 1 species
UCAUACAUACUGUAAUACAGAAAACCAAAGUAUAAAAUUUAAUUUACAGUGACACGUGAGCCCACGAAUAACUAAAAGUAUUAAAAGAAAUGAACCUACAGUUUUUGGAUGUGGCAAGUCCAACUGAAGUCCUCAACGAUAUCAGUUGUCUACAAUCUAUUUUGAGCUUGAAAUGGGUGAAAAUGAGGGUGGUGAGAUUAUAAAAUCCCAGCGAGUAAACAAAUACCAUCUAAACCAUCUAAAGUCAAGUAAAUGGAUAUAGGUAAAACAAUUUAACAUACUAAAAUUCAUCACCUUUCAACUUGUUUCAACCAAAUAAAAUUUAUUCAUAUAAAUCGAGUAAUUAACAUGGCUUAUGAAUUUCUUAAAGCUUAGCUCAUGCCAAAAAUUAUUCUCAUACUUAGUUAUCAGGGAUUCCUUGAUCGAGGGCUAUCCCAAACCGAGUCCGCCAAGGCUAUUAAAAAGUUAUAUACUCAUAAAUCAUGUUUUUAUUUAGAAAAUAUAGCCGUUCCUUGGCGUUGGCUGAGUUCGGCCUCAAGUGGUGGUUUGGCGUGCAGUGAACUCUAAAAGUUAUACCUCGGGAGUUACCCUACUCGUCUCUCCAACCAAGAUAAAAUAUGUCAGGAUUCCGUGCCCCUUUAAUAGGCUAGUCCACAGAACCCAGCCCACUGCAGCAAGUAAUAUCCACCAUACAAUAAAAUUUUGACAGCAUGACGUGACUAAUAUUAUACUACCUAGCCUGUAAAUGUAAAACAGAACAAUUCAUACAGUUCACUAAAACCACAACCCAGCCAGUCAUGCCAACACAUUAACAUAAGCCAUCAAUUCAGAUCAUAAAUUUACAACACAUCAGGGGUCUCCAAUUACUCUAUUUUCAAAAUCAUCAUUCAAUUUCAAGACAAUUUAUAAAAUCUUUUCAUUUAAACACAUUUUGUUUAUAAACAUAAAGGUUUACCAUUUAAACCCAUUUUUCAUAAAAUCAUAAAAUCGGAUAAAAAUCACUUUAGAUAAUUAAGACGAUAGUAAGGUUACUCACCGUACUAGGAGUUCGAUAUACUCCUAUUUUGGGGUCUUUGGGCACAAUCUCUUUACCCUUGUUGGAAGGCUCACCACCUAUACAUCAUACAUGACACGAAUUUCAAUAAAUUAUGUUAAUUUAUCAUAAACUAUUUCAGGCUCUAUAAAACUAUAUGAAUGCACGAAAUGUGAUGCAAAAUGUCCGAAUAGCCGUUUAAAUACGGUAUUCAACCUAAUUCGCACUAUUCUCGGUGUAAUUGGCUAAAACCUCUAAUUUAACUCCAAAUCAAUUUCUUUUACUUUUUACACUCCAAUUAUACUUAAAAUACCUCAAUGACUGUGAAUAUGUUUCAAUUUAUCAGUCCGAACUAUAAAUCGAACAUGUAUAUACUUUAGGUAAAAAUUCAGAUUUUCAUGCCAAAAUUUUCCAUUAAAUUUCUAGCCUCAUCAAUCAUUAAAUACCACCAAAAUAUAAUGAAAUAUCAUCAAUUUCAGCCUCAAUAUCCUCCCUUGGAAAUUCGGCCUCUUGUGGGUAAUAGAGAAAAUGAAUUUUUCUUGUUGGCUUUUCUUGCCACACAUCACUAACUAACUAAAAACACUAGAAUAUCUUAAAAUCUAACCAAAACAUCAUCAAAUUCUCUCUCCUAGGUGUUCGGCUAGCAAGGGCUUCAUCAUGAAAACUUGAUUUCUAAGCAUGGAAAAUGGAAAAGAAAGCAUGGGUAGUGUAAAUCACAAGUCAAAAUCAAGAAAUUUUACUUUUAUUAGCUUAAUCCCUUGAAAUCCCACACUUUUUCUUCAAUUUUCCCACCUUGGGUUCUUGUUCUUCUUUUCUUCCUUUUGUUUUCC